rnacentral:tRNA from 1 species
GAACUGGUACCCAAGAGGCCGAAGGGGGUAGUCUGCAAAACUACUAGUCGUGGGUUCGAAUCCCAUCCAGUUCU